GGGAGUUGCUGCAUUAGAGGCUGAUGCGAUGCUUCUUGCAGAGGCUACAAAGCAAAUAUUUGGAUCACUGAACAGUGGAAACAUUUUUGUUUCUGUUGAUGAGAAGGAGUCUGAUGCCAAAGGAGCUAGUGCUGAGAAUGGGCAAGUCCCAGAGUGGGCCAAGGCGCUGGAGCCUGUUCGGAAGCUACCUACAAAUGUGGGGGCUCGAAUUAGAAAAUGUGUCAAUAUGGCUUUGGAGAAAGACCCACCAGAAUGGGCCAGGAAAGCAUUAAUGCAUUCAAUAAGCAAAGAGGUGUACAAAGGAAACGCCUCUGGACCAACGAAGAGAGCAGUAAUUUCCCUCCUGGCGGAAGUUAACCGGGGAACUACUUCACCCAAACCUGAGAAGGAAGAAAAGGUAAAGAGUCCCAGCACUGUAUCUGAUUUAAUCAUGAAACAGUGUCGGAUUAUACUACGACGAGCUGUUAAAGAAGACAAAAAUAAAGUCUUCUGCAAUCUCUCGGGAAGAACAGUUCUGAGCCCUAAUGACAAUGACAAUGAGGGGCUUCUUGGGCAUCCGGCAAUGGUGUCUCGGCCUUUAGACUUCAGGACCAUUGAUGUGAAGUUGGCUGCUGGAUCCUACGGGGGAUCACAUGAAUCUUUCAUUGAUGAAGUGCGGGAGGUUUGGCAUAAUAUACGAACCGCAUACUGCAAUAAGUCCAAUUUGCUCGAGUUAGCUGGAUCAUUGUUGCAGAAAUUUGAGGAAGAUUAUGAAAAAGAGGUUCUUCCCCUAGUCCAGAUAAUUGAGUGUUCAAACGACAGCAAUUUAAGUAGUGAAGUUGCAAAAGAUAGAGAUGGUCUCCUAGCUCAUGUGAAUGAGAGCUCACUUCCUAAAGCCCCUU
rnacentral:misc_RNA from 1 species